rnacentral:rRNA from 1 species
GACGAACGCUGGCGGCGUGCUUGACACAUGCAAGUCGAACGGAAAGGCCUGCUUUCCCUUGUGGAUUGCGGGUACUCGAGUGGCGAACGGGUGAGUAACACGUGAGUGAUCUGCCCCCAACUUGGGUAUAAGCCUGGGAAACUGGGUCUAAUUCCCGAUAGGACUGCAGGGUGGUGCCUGUGGUGGAAAACGAUUUUCUAGUGGUUGGGGAUGAGCUCGCGGCCUAUCAGCUUGUUGGUGGGGUAAUGGCCUACCAAGGCGGCGACGGGUAGCCGGCCUGGGAGGGUGGACGGCCACAUUGGGACUGAGAUACGGCCCAGACUCCUACGGGAGGCAGCAGUGGGGAAUAUUGCACAGUGGGCGGAAGCCUGAUGCAGCGACGCAGCGUAGGGGAUGACGGCCUUCGGGUUGUAAACUCCUUUCGACCGCGAGGAAGCCACCUGGUUGGAAGGGUGGUGACGGUAGUGGUAGAAGAAGCACCGGCUAACUACGUG